ensembl:miRNA
CGUGGGAGUUCAAAUCUCGCUGGGGCCUCCAAAUGUUAUGGGUUCAAUCAGUGAGACAGACCACCAACUCAGAAUUUAAAUUUAAGAGCCUUUCUUA